UUGAUCCUGGCUCAGGAUGAACGCUGGCGGCGUGCUUGACACAUGCAAGUCGAACGAAGCCCUCGGGCUUAGUGGCGGACGGGUGAGUAACGCGUGAGAAUCUACCUCCGAGAUGGGGACAACCGUUGGAAACGACGGCUAAUCCCCAAUAAGCCGAAAGGUGAAAGGGUUUCCGCUCGCAGAGGAGCUCGCGUCCGAUUAGUUAGUUGGUGGGGUAAGAGCCUACCAAGGCAGCGAUCGGUAGCUGGUCUGAGAGGAUGAGCAGCCACACUGGGACUGAGACACGGCCCAGACUCCUACGGGAGGCAGCAGUGGGGAAUUUUCCGCAAUGGGCGCAAGCCUGACGGAGCAACGCCGCGUGUGGGAAGAAGGCUCUUGGGCUGUCAACCACUUUUCUCAGGGAAGAAGUCCUGACGGUACCUGAGGAAUCAGCCUCGGCUAACUCCGUGCCAGCAGCCGCGGUAAUACGGAGGAGGCAAGCGUUAUCCGGAAUUAUUGGGCGUAAAGCGUCCGCAGGGGGCACUUCAAGUCUGCUGUCAAAGGUCGGAGCUUAACUCCGGUUCGGCAGUGGAAACUGGAGCGCUAGAGGGCGACAGGGGUAGAGGGAAUUCCCAGUGUAGCGGUGAAAUGCGUAGAGAUUGGGAAGAACACCGGUGGCGAAAGCGCUCUACUGGGUCGCACCUGACCCUCAGGGACGAAAGCUAAGGUAGCGAAAGGGAUUAGAUACCCCUGUAGUCUUAGCCGUAAACGAUGGAUACUAGGCGUGGUUUGUAUCGACCCAAGCCGCGCCGAAGCUAACGCGUUAAGUAUCCCGCCUGGGGAGUACGCACGCAAGUGUGAAACUCAAAGGACUUGACGGGGGCCCGCACAAGCGGUGGAGGAUGUGGUUUAAUUCGAUGCAACGCGAAGAACCUUACCAGGGCUUGACAUCCCGCGAAUCUUGCUGAAAG
rnacentral:rRNA from 1 species